AAGUCUGGUGCCAGCAGCCGCGGUAAUUCCAGCUCCAAUAGCGUAUAUUAAAAUUGUUGCGUCUAAAAAGCUCGUAGUUUGAAAACUCGCCUCGGCUUACAAUAGGUUCCCAAUGGGGGCCGCCGUUUGUUGGGUGCGAAUAUCGAUGACUGUUUUUGCCGACUUCAUUGUCCGGCUUAUAAGAGUUAUCAAAUAUCACUUUGAUUAAAUUAGAGUGCUUAAAGCAAGUGUGUUACUUGGAUAUAAAUGCAUGGAAUGAUGGAAUAUGUUGUUGUUCUAUUUGUUGGUUUUUGAACGAUAAAAUGAUUGAAAGGAACUGUUGGGGGCAUUCGUAUUGUUGUGAGAGAGGUGAAAUUCUUAGACCACAGCAAGACGAACUACUGCGAAAGCAUUUGCCAAGAAUGUUUUCAUUGAUCAAGAACGAAAGUUAGAGGUUCGAAGGCGAUCAGAUACCGCCCUAGUUCUAACCAUAA
rnacentral:rRNA from 1 species